rnacentral:rRNA from 1 species
AUGAACGCUGGCGGCGUGCCUAACACAUGCAAGUCGAGCGAUUCUCUUCGGAGAAGAGCGGCGGACGGGUGAGUAACGCGUGGGUAACCUGCCCUGUACACACGGAUAACAUACCGAAAGGUAUGCUAAUACGAGAUACUAUGCUUUUAUCGCAUGGUAGAAGUAUCAAAGCUUUUGCGGUACAGGAUGGACCCGCGUCUGAUUAGCUAGUUGGUAAGGUAACGGCUUACCAAGGCGACGAUCAGUAGCCGACCUGAGAGGGUGAUCGGCCACAUUGGAACUGAGACACGGUCCAAACUCCUACGGGAGGCAGCAGUGGGGAAUAUUGCACAAUGGGCGAAAGCCUGAUGCAGCAACGCCGCGUGAGCGAUGAAGGCCUUCGGGUCGUAAAGCUCUGUCCUCAAGGAAGAUAAUGACGGUACUUGAGGAGGAAGCCCCGGCUAACUACGUGC